CCCGCGGAGACGGGCGGGGACGGGCGAAAGCGGGUUUGCUCCGACCCGAAGCUGAGCCCGGGUUGGAGGGCGAGACCGUAGGCGAGAAUGGCCGCGCGGGCUGGGAGACCCGGGCCGGUAUGGAGUGAGUGGAGCCGCCCGAGAUCAUCAUUUGAGCUAUUCCACUGAAGUCAAGCAUGAAAUCUAUUUAGCUGGAUAGCUACCCAUUUCCUGUGACCUGCAAAAGAGAUGCCCUAUUCUUUCAGGAUCCUUGGAAUGCCACAUGCCCAGGCCCACUGGAAAACUGGGAAGGAAAACUGGAGCCACAUGCCUGGGCCCACUGAGAUUCAUCACCCUUCCCCUACAACCCUGUGUCAAGGAAACACAAAGAUAGAGUGGAUUUCAGCACCACCCAAUGCAGACGCAUGGCUGCUAGUUUAUCAGCAUAGGUCAAUGAAUGGUUUUAAGUUGCUAUGGGUUUAAGAGGAUCUCUUAGUUGAUGGGAAUUUUUGAAUCUUUUUUUUGCGUGGGACCCUUUGGCAGUUUUGUAAAAUGUACAGACUAUUUCUCAGAAUGUUUCUAAACGUGUAAGUUAUAUUGAAAUUGGCCAGGCACGGUGGUUCAUGCCUGUAAUCCCAGCAUUUUGGGAGACCGAGGUGGGCGGAUCACUUGAGGUCAGGAGUUUGAGACCAACCUGGCCAACAUGGUGAAACCCCGUCUCUACUAAAAAAAAUACAAAAGUUAGCCAGGCGUGGUGGUGUGUGCCUGUAAUCCCAGCUACUUGGGAGGCUGAGGCAAGGAGAAUCGCAUAAACCUG
rnacentral:lncRNA from 1 species